GCGAAGGCGACUCUUUGGUCUGUAACUGACGCUGAGGAGCGAACGCGUGGGGAGCGAACCGGAUUAGAUACCGUGGUAGUUCACGCCGUACCCGAUGAGUGCUAAGUGUGAGGGGGGUUUCGGCUGUUAGUGCUGCCGCUGGCGCAUUAAGCACUCAGCUUGGGGAGGUAGGUCGUCAGCAUGGCCCUCAAAGGGAGGGUGGGGGGCACGCUGCGGAGGUGGAGCAUGUGGUUUAAUUCGAAGCAACGCGAAGAACCUUACCAGGUAUUGACAUCUUCUGACAACCCUGGAGAUUGGGCUUUUCCUUCGGGGACAGAGUGACAGGUGGUGCAUGGUGGUCGUCAGCUCGUGUCGUGAGAUGUUAGGGUUAGGACCGCAACGAGCGCAACUCUUGUUCUUAGUUGCUAGCAUUCAGUUGGGACCUCUAAGGUGACUGCCGGUGACAAACCGGAGGAAGGUGGGGAUGACGUGAAAUCAUCAUGCCCCUUAUGACCUGGGCUACACACGUGUGACACUGGACAGCACAAAGGGCUGCGAGACCGCAAGGUUUAGCCAAUCCCACAAAUCUGUUCUCAGUUCGGAUCGCAGUCUGCAACUCGACUGCGUGAAGCUGGGAUUGCGCGUAAUCGCGGCGCGGAAUGAAGAGGUGACUACGUUCCCGGGCCUUGG
rnacentral:rRNA from 1 species